GCCUCCACAGUGUAGUGGUUAGCAUAUCUGCCUUACACGCAGAAGGUCCUGGGUUCGCACCCCAGGUGGAGCCA
rnacentral:tRNA from 1 species